rnacentral:rRNA from 1 species
GACGAACGCUGGCGGCGUGCUUAACACAUGCAAGUCGAACGGAAAGGCCUUUUCGGAGGUACUCGAGUGGCGAACGGGUGAGUAACACGUGGGUGAUCUGCCCUGCACUCUGGGAUAAGCCUGGGAAACUGGGUCUAAUACCGGAUAGGACCGCACUUUAGUGUGUGUGGUGGAAAGUUUUUUCGGUGUAGGAUGAGCCCGCGGCCUAUCAGCUUGUUGGUGGGGUAAUGGCCUACCAAGGCGGCGACGGGUAGCCGGACUGAGAGGUUGGUCGGCCACAUUGGGACUGAGAUACGGCCCAGACUCCUACGGGAGGCAGCAGUGGGGAAGAUUGCACAAUGGGCGCAAGCCUGAUGCAGCGACGCCGCGUGGGGGAUGACGGCCUUCGGGUUGUAAACGCCUUUCGCCAGGGACGAAGCGUUUCGUGACGGUACCUGGAGAAGAAGCACCGGCUAACUACGUG